AGGGAAGAGAGGCAGUCGUAGGGUGGGGGCCACAUUCCACUGGCGGGAAAACUAGAAGGUCCUUCUCUUAGGAAGAGCUGAUGCUCUAAUUCCCUACACCUGCCAGGCAGAACAGAGUGAUCUCCUCUACCUGGCAACAAGCAUGGUGUGAGAGCCCCAGCUUUCCAACUGAACCCAGCAAAAGAGGAGCUACACCCAGUUUCGUGUAUCAGUUUCAGGGAAGGACUAUGAUGGGCUCUGCUGAACUGACACGCCUCUGCUUUCACCCCUGAACCUGUUGGCAGAGGAAUAAGGAGCUAAUGGCUGCCCAGAUACACCCCACUUCCCAGCCUCCCCUGCGGUCGGGGUGUUCAUGUGACAAAUACUCUCCAGUGGAAAGUGAUUAGAAGAGAUAAGAGCCACAGCAGCAAGACCUUCA